rnacentral:rRNA from 1 species
UACGUAGGGUGCGACCGUUAAUCGGAAUUACUGGGCGUAAAGCGUGCGCAGGCGGUCUGUUAAGACCGAUGUGAAAUCCCCGGGCUUAACCUGGGAACUGCAUUGGUGACUGGCAGGCUUUGAGUGUGGCAGAGGGAGGUAGAAUUCCACGUGUAGCAGUGAAAUGCGUAGAGAUGUGGAGGAAUACCGAUGGCGAAGGCAGCCUCCUGGGCCAACACUGACGCUCAUGCACGAAAGCGUGGGGAGCAAACAGG